rnacentral:rRNA from 1 species
UACGUAGGGUGCAAGCGUUGUCCGGAAUUAUUGGGCGUAAAGAGCUACGUAGGCGGUCUGUCGCGUCUGCUGUGAAAACCUGGGGCUUAACCCCGGGCCUGCAGUGGGUACGGGCAGACUAGAGUGCGGUAGGGGAGACUGGAAUUCCUGGUGUAGCGGUGAAAUGCGCAGAUAUCAGGAGGAACACCGGUGGCGAAGGCGGGUCUCUGGGCCGUAACUGACGCUGAGGAGCGAAAGCAUGGGGAGCGAACAGG